UGGCGGACGGCUGAGUAACACGUAGGGACCUGCCCUUAUUUGGAGCAUAGCUCCGCGAAAGCGGGGAUAAAUCUCCAUAUUCCCCUCGGGGGAAAGAACAUAACUGUUCGAAUAAGGAUGGACCUGCGUCUUAUCAGGUAGUUGGUAGGGUAACUGCCUACCAAGCCUAUUACGAGUAGCUGGUCUAAGAGGAUGGACAGCCAGAGGGGGACUGAGACACGGCCCCCACUCCUACGGGAGGCAGCAAUCAGGAAUAGUCGGCAAUGGACGAAAGUCUGACCGCGCGACGCCGCGUGUAGGAAGAAGCUCUAACGAGCGUAAACUACUGUGGUAAGGGAAGAAGUCCCGCCUAUGGCGGGAUUGACGGUACCUUACUAGAAAGGGGCCGCUAACUGCGUGCCAGAAGCGUCGGUAAUACGUGGGCCCCAAACAUUAUCCGGUUUUACUGGGUGUAAAAAGUAGUGUAGGUGUCUUGAUAAGUUUCUGUUUAAAUACUAAGGCCCAACCUUAGGAAAGGCAGGAAAACUAUCUGGAUUGAGUUUUCUUUAGGGAGACUGGAACUUAGGGAGGAGUAGUGAAAUGCGUUGAUACCCUAGGGAACACUAGUGGCGAAGGCGAGUCUCUGAAAGAAAACUGACACUGAGACACGAAAGCUAGGGGAGCGAAGCAGAUUAGAGACCUGCGUAGUCCUAGCCCUAAACGCAUGUCUGCUAGCUGCAUCUUCACAUUUAUGUGGAGGUGUGGCGAAGGUAACCCGUUAAGCAGACCACCUGGGGAGUACGGCCGCAAGGUUGAAACUCAAAGGAAUUGGCGGGGAGGCACACAACCAGUGGAAACAUGUGGUUCAAUUCG
rnacentral:rRNA from 1 species